GCUAGAACAGUGACUAAGGUUCAGUGCAGGGUACUGGGUGGAGGUCGGCUAGAACAGUGACUAAGGUUCAGUGCAGGGUACUGGGUGGAGGUCGGCUAGAACAGUGACUAAGGUUCAGUGCAGGGUACUGGGUGGAGGUCGGCUAGAACAGUGACUAAGGUUCAUGGCAG